GAUUAUGGCUCAGAUUGAACGCUGGCGGCAUGCCUUACACAUGCAAGUCGAACGGUAACAGGUCUUCGGACGCUGACGAGUGGCGAACGGGUGAGUAAUACAUCGGAACGUGCCCAGUCGUGAGGGAUAACUACUCGAAAGAGUAGCUAAUACCGCAUACGAUCUGAGGAUGAAAGCGGGGGACCUUCGGGCCUCGCGCGAUUGGAGCGGCCGAUGGCAGAUUAGGUAGUUGGUGGGAA
rnacentral:rRNA from 1 species